rnacentral:rRNA from 1 species
GUGAGGAAUAUUGGUCAAUGGGCGCAAGCCUGAACCAGCCAUGCCGCGUGAAGGAUUAAGGCCCUAUGGGUCGUAAACUUCUUUUGUGGCGGAGCAAUAAGGUCUACGUGUAGGCCGAUGAGAGUACGUCACGAAUAAGCAUCGGCUAACUCCGUGCCAGCAGCCGCGGUAAUACGGAGGAUGCAAGCGUUAUCCGGAUUUAUUGGGUUUAAAGGGUGCGUAGGCUGUUCGACAAGUCAGGGGUGAAAGCCCGGCGCCUAACGCCGGAACUGCCUUUGAUACUGCCGAGCUGGAAUACGGAUGCCGUGGGAGGAAUGAGUAGUGUAGCGGUGAAAUGCAUAGAUAUUACUCAGAACACCGAUUGCGAAGGCAUCUCACGAAUCCGUCAUUGACGCUGAGGCACGAAAGCGUGGGGAUCAAACAGG